CUUCAGUGUUGCUUUUAUGCUUUUGUCGAGGUGAGUUGGACGCGAUGAAAUUUUCGAGCUCCGGAGUACGAUGAUACGUUUUUAUGGAACUGUCGGGAUUAGGAAUAUUUUUUUAUCGUACAGUGUCGCAUAAAAGUGAUUUCUUAUUUUGAACGGAUUUUUCGGAAAAUACAAAGAUCGACUAUGAGGCGAUGAACUUGAAUUCGGAGCCCGAAUCUCAAUUCAUUAUUGGUCAUCGGGAAGGCCGACGUUCGACGAGUAGCCUCGGAAGAGGUAUACCUCGUUCUCUACCUCCUCAAACCGAUUCGGAAAGUGGCAACCAACCUUCGAGUUUCGGCCAACAAAGAUCGUUAUCCGUGACCACUUUACAACCCGGCAUUGUCGAACCAAGAAUGGCCCAAUUGGAAACAUUAGAAGCUAAAAUGGCCAGUAUAGAAGUAUCGUUAUCGAGCACGCCAAGAAGAAAGAAAAACGGGAGUAUAUCAGGGAUCAGCAUCGGAUCUUCUAUACAUUCCAUACCGAAAGAACUAGCCAUCAAAGAAUUGGAAAAAUUAAGAAACGCUCUAAAAGAUAAAGAAAAUAUUAUACAAAGUCUUAAAGGGCAACUGACGAUACCAGGUUUGAGGUUAAACGCCAUUAGAAAUUCUAAUAAUAACAAUAUGAAGGAAUUAACUGAUGUCGAGAAGAAACAGGCCGAAGCCAGAUUGGGUAGACUUAAAACGGACGUCGAUAAUAAAAGACUGACUAUUAAGAAUUUAAAAAUGGCCUUGGAAAGAUUAGAUAUAACUGAUAAUAUAGACGUGCGGAUUCAACAAGCCGAACUGGAAUAUCAGUUAGGUAGAGAAGAACUGAAUUUAUUAACUUUAUUAGAAGAAACUAGAGCUCUUCAAUUGUGUAUCGAAGAAUCCAACAGACAAUCGUCAGAUUGCCACACGUUAUACAGUUGUGUACAUGGUAAUGAUCAUGUAUUCCUGUAUGCGAUUCAAAUGGAAUAUGAUCAUAACAAUCCAAAAUUUGGUGCAGGAGUCAAAAGCUCUUUGCCUGGCCUUUACGUCGAUUGGGCUUUGGAAGAAACUAAUUUGCGCAAAGGAGACAGAUUCGUGGAGGUGAAUGGAAAAAUCGUAUUAACCAAAAACCGGGAUGAUCUCACUAGAUUAUUGGCAGCUGCGCCUGAUCCAGCACAAUUGGUCGUCUUACGUAAAAUCAGCAACAGCAAUCUAUCGAGCAACACACAAAAUGGAGUCAAUUCUCUUUGUUCAGAAUUAGAAUCUUUAAGAAUUAAAGCAGAGGAAGCAGAAAAAGCUAAAGAAGUAUUAAAAUCGGAUAACAUUAGAUUGACUCAUCGAAUAUCUUAUUUAGAAGAACAGGUCUCGGAGCUUAUCAAAAACAAAUCCAACGAACUAGAUAAACGAAAUUCAUCACAACCACCACCGUUGAUCUCAAAAUCAAACCAAAACGUCACUAAUAUUAACAUAAGGACACUUUCGCCUACCAGUUCGUGCAAUAAUAACGAUACUAAUGUUUACAAACAGGAUCAUGUCGCAACAGAAGCUAAAGAAUCUUCUUCUUUACCGUCCAGGUCGAAAAGUAGUUUAUCAAACGUAUCAAACACCCACAUACCUUCCCUAACAAGCGAAUUCUGUCACAAACUCGUCCAUAACAGGCAUAAACAUAGAUCCAGGAGCGGCGUACAAAGUCCCUUGGGAAAUAUACCGAACAAUGAUAAAGUAACUUACAGAAAACACCAUCACCACCAUAAGGAUUAUAAUUCGGAAUCAAACUCGGGGUUAGAUACGAGAAGAUAUAAUAAGAAGACGGAGAGGUAUUCGGCAGAUUUUGCUAAAGCAAACUCUGAAAUAGAGUACGACAUAAUGGACCAAAGUUACAAGAAAGCCACGCAAAUAGUGCAAGAUCUAACAAGGAACCGAGAUCCUACUAUGUACGAAAAACAUCGUCAAAAAUGUAUUACAGCUUCCGAAAAAUAUAAUUCCGAAUUAUUACGACAUUACAACGCUAGAAAAUCCACGUCGGUUCUGGAUUUUCGAUCAGAAAUCCAUAUCGGUCCUAAGUAUGACGCAAACGGCGUCGAAAGCGUAGACGAAAACACGAAUAACGAUAAAGCUUAUCGGAAAAUGGACGCCAGAAGUGUUAAAUCUUUGGAUUUCGACAGCGAUUGUAAUUCCGCGAGGUUGAACGGUACCUGUAGCACAGAUUAUGCUUCGGAACCGAAUAACGAUAAACAUAUGUAUUACGAAAAACCGAGACCCGCGCCCCCUAAGAAACCGUUGAGGUUAUCUUUACAUAAAACUCACAGUUUACAAUCGGUCGAAACUAAUUGUGAUUUCCAAAACAGGAAAUGCGUGAAGAGAAAUUAUAAGGGGGAAGCCCCUAUCAAUAUUAAAGUUAAAGAUCAAAAUGGUGGUAACAACCAUAUAAUCAAAUGGAAUUAUAGGAGAAGCUUGGAAAAUAAUUUAGAACAUGGAAGUUGGUGUUAGAUAAAAACAAUUAAUUUGUUUUUUGUAUUUAUUUGUGUAUAAUAUAAAAAAAAAAUGAAAUUAGAAACUUAGUAACUGCUUAGAAAUUCUAUUUCAAAAAGUAGAUAACCAGUAUAACACUAUAAUAAAUUUUGACAUAUAUAGUGAAGAUAUUGGGUUUUUCUAUGAAAUAAGAAAUAUUUAUAUUCGAAGAUUUUUAAUUCCCCAAAAUAUAAAUGAAAUCUUUUUAUUUGUAUCAUAAAAUAGCUACAUAUGUACCCACAAAACAUUUUAAGUGCAAUGUGUGUUAUCUAUUAAUACAUUUACAUAUACAUAACGGUACAAUAGACAACCAACAUAACGUCUAAUAUGUUAUGUGUAUUGCCUACAUAUCCAAAAAACUGAUCAUAGAAAUCAGAUCACCUAUCAGUUGAUUCCAAAUCCUAGCACAGAACAAUAGGAAUUUCAAAUUGAAGCUCAAACUACAAAAACCUGUUAUUUCUAUUAUUUUAAAUAUAUAAUAUUUCUCCUUCUAUAGAUUUUAAUUCAGUUGUGUAAUAGAUUUAGAGUGUUCCAAUUAUUAUUGAGCAGAUAUCAACUUUUUUUACUAAUAUUUCGAAACAAAUUGUUUAUUAUUAUACAGAAAAUAUAAAAAUCGUAAACUUUAGUGACCUAAAAUUUCGCUGUUUUUAAGAAUUACUCAUAAAUAAUCAUUUAGUUUCCGAAAAAAAAUCCGAAUUACUUUCUGAUAAUUCAGAUCGUAUUCGGGUUAAUCCUAUCAUAGUUUCCAUAGUCCCUCUAAUAUGUCAAUGUUUAUUAAUGAGGAUUAUUGGGGAAAUAGUUGUAUUUUGAGGUUAGUUUGUGAACAUCACAGUGAAUCCUAAAUGUUUACUUAGUAGCUUCAGUUCAAUUUUUUAGUAGUGUUACUCCAAACAGAUAUGAGUAUAAUGAAAUAUAAAUUAAAAAGUAAUAAAAUAUAAAAAAAAACAGCCAGAAAUCAAACAUUUUAAUCUAAGAGGAAGUUAUCUUUAUUAGCCCGAGAAAAAUAAAAUAUCAUCAAAUAAAAUAGUUAUCUUUUGUUUACAGGCUUCGUAUUAAUUAGCAAAUGAAAAUAACCAGGUUGCGAUGCAAAUUUAUGAUAAAUAAAACAUAAAAAUUAGAGUAGAAAAGUAAUCUAAAAAUGUGAAGUUUUCUUACAUUGAUUGUGCAUUCUUGGGUUAGUUUAUUCUAUUUUUUCAUAAAAUGAUUGUAUUGUUAGUAAAAUUAUAAGAAUUCUGAUUCUCUAGAUAGUAAAAAAUCAAGGAUUCAAUUGAUCGCAGCUAACAGCUUCUUAAGAACAUUUUUAUUCUACUGUAAGUAUUGUUCACUUCGACAAUAGCCUCAAAAUCUGAUUUAUAAUAAUAAAAAUAAUAUAUUGAGUGUUUUCAAUGUGAAAUAACUGUUGUAAUAUGUUUCUAAUUUCAUUUUUUCAUAAUUAUAAAAACAUUUUUAGUAUUAUUCGAAGUAAUCGAUAUGCCUUCUUUAUAUUGUCACUUUUGUAAAAUUAUCUGGAACAGAUUGAAGAAUGGGUUAACAAAAAAGUGUUAUAAGGUCAAGUUAAACAAAUAACUGAUAAUUCAUUGCAUGUAAUGAGAAAAUAUUAUCAAAAUUAUCUUUUUUUAUGCAAAUUCAAAUUCGUGUCGAUCGAAUGUUCUUUUACUUGAAAUGAAUGAAAUUAAAAGUACUAGUAUGUAUUUCUAAUUAAUCAUGUCAACAUAGAAGUGAAACUGUUCUCUUAACGCAUUUUUCAAUAUUAAGAGCAUUUCCAAAGUAUUGAUUUGUGUAUGCACCUCCUAUUAAUAUUCAUAACCUUAGUUUCAUUUUAUAAACAAUUAUUUCAUAUUUUCAUUAGUUUCAUUAAAUGAAGUUGGCAUAUAUCUGUAGCAAUAUGACUGAAACAAAUAAGUAUAUUUACAAAUAUUUCUCAUUAUUCUUGUAUAUAAUAAAAAAUUGUUUUUUUUUUACUCCAAAACACGCAUUAACUAAAAUAAACGUGCAUCUUCAAAAGUUUAGUACCUAACUAUGAAAAAACCGUCAGAUUAGUCACAAAAAAAUAACCAAAGUCUGGCUGUCACAUAAUUUUUUUUAAGUAGGGGACAGCGAGUACUAUACAAACGGUUUUGUUGUAUAGAAAUAUUUAAUUUCUCUCACAAUUAACAUCGUAUGGAAAAUACCCAACAAGCUUUCAUUUCAAACAAUUUGGCAACACUUCUAGUACAAUCUGUUGUCAAGUAAAUUAUGACCGUUGCAGUUUAGAGUUUUAUUGUUUUUAUUACUAUUAUUUGUUCACGUUGACUCGUGAUGUAAGUUCGAACUGUUAAUACAAAACAAUUGUGGGUCGAAAUUAUAGGUUAUGAAAAAUGAGAAAAAAAUAUAAAACAAAGAGGAGAAUAACCUCGACUUUCUUCAGAGGCAUCUUCACAAGGAUACAUUUCUUCGCUCCCUUCAACAUCCUCAUAAUCUGAUGGUUGUUGGACUCUACUCUAGAUGGAUUGUUAAUGGUUAGAAUGUCACUUGGUAGUUAUUUUAUGCUCGCAUUAGAAUGUGUCGUGAAAAACGUUCAAUUUUAGUUUGGGAAUUGUGUUUAUAGUAUGAUAAAAAUGACUAUUUAUAUUCUCAAGUACAUUGUUUGAUAUAAGUUGAUUUUGGUAUAAAAUGAAA